rnacentral:tRNA from 2 species
GGGCGCGUAGCUCAGUGGUAGAGCGCUUGACUCACAUUCAAGAGGUCCAUGGUUCGAUCCCAUGCGCGCCCACCA